rnacentral:lncRNA from 8 species
CUCAAAUUCUUGUACUGUCUGUUCAUUUUAUACCCUAACAUUUUUUUUUCAUAGAAUAAAUGCCACUGGAAAUGAUCCAACUUUCAACAUUAGAAUGAGAAUUUUAUCAGAAUGGAACAUAUGCUACUUCAGGAUGGUGGUACACAGACCACCCCCCACCCUCUGGACCUGCCCAUCCAAGGAAAGAUCCCUUUUUAUCUCUGGGGUCUCCAAUGUCUACCACACAACCAAGCUCUGUGAGAGGUUGGUCCAGCCGAAGAGUGACUUUGACCUGAUGGACCCUAAUGUCUACCUGUUGAGCUCUGGGUACAGCAGUCUCCAUGACCCAAACCUCAGGAAAUACCUCCACCGCAAAGACAUCCACCAACACCUCGUUACCUGGGCUUCAUUACUAAGGAUGAGAAAGUUACUGAUCUUUCAGUCUUUUACAAUGUGCCCUGCUGAUUCCUUUUAUGAACUAUAUCAUAAUGUUUGGUGUGAUUGUAAGAGUUUUAGUGCACUUGGAUAGUACUGACACCACAACAUAACGUCCCUCAGGAAAAAUAAAGUUAUUCUAAAUAGAAGUUGUUGUCCUUAGACGCAUCCACGUCUCUACCAUGUAUGUAUUCUAAUUCUAUGGUCUCGACUCCCUAUUUCCCAUUCUUCAGAAAAUCUGUUCAAUUAAGAGUUGAACCGGUAUAGAGAUCACAUGGCAGAUGUGGAGUUGGAUAUGACUUUGAUAUGUUAAAACGCUUUAGAAGGUUCUCUUUCAACUGUGGGCUGGAGGAGGACUGUUAUCUUGCGAGACUGCCCAGAAUCGCUAUAAAGUGCAACAUGGUAGAUCUAGAUUUCUCGCCUAGCUCCACCUGCAGGUCUGAACUG